rnacentral:rRNA from 1 species
GAUGUACGCUGGCGGCGUGCCUAAUACAUGCAAGUCGAGCGAACGGACGAGAAGCUUGCUUUUCUGAUGUUAGCGGCGGACGGGUGAGUAACACGUGGAUAACCUACCUAUAAGACUGGGAUAACUUCGGGAAACCGGAGCUAAUACCGGAUAAUAUUUUGAACCGCAUGGUUCAAAAGUGAAAGACGGUCUUGCUGUCACUUAUAGAUGGAUCCGCGCUGCAUUAGCUAGUUGGUAAGGUAACGGCUUACCAAGGCAACGAUGCAUAGCCGACCUGAGAGGGUGAUCGGCCACACUGGAACUGAGACACGGUCCAGACUCCUACGGGAGGCAGCAGUAGGGAAUCUUCCGCAAUGGGCGAAAGCCUGACGGAGCAACGCCGCGUGAGUGAUGAAGGUCUUCGGAUCGUAAAACUCUGUUAUUAGGGAAGAACAUAUGUGUAAGUAACUGUGCACAUCUAGACGGUACCUAAUCAGAAAGCCACGGCUAACUACGUG